ACUAGUACAUACAAUAAAAAUAUGGAAAUGAGUGAAGAACAACUUGAAAAACAACGCCAAUGAAAAACGGAACUUUUAAUUAUAAAAGAAGCAAAACCAGCAUCAGAUGUACAGAUUCCAACAGUUUUGAAUAUUUUUCAACAUUUAAUAUAUAACCAACAAGUUUAAACCUUCUCCAAUAUCGAAUAUUAUUUAUUGUUAUUGGUUGAGAGGAUAUAAAAUAUAAAAGUGGCAAAGAAAGUAUCAGGAAGAAAAAAUGUUCACAGAAUAAGAGUUUGAGAAAUGAUAUAUCCAAAAGUGAACAUAUAGACACAAUUCUAAACAAGGAUUCUUUAAUUGAAUCUGAUUUCGAUUCAAGUAAUUGGUAUCACAUCAAAGUUUCUGAAAAACUAAAUAUAGUAAUAGCAAAAAUUCCAAAAGAUAUUUAUGUUGGUAAUAUUUCACUUACAGCUACAGCUUGUGAUAUUUCGCGAAAUGUUUUACAGAAGGUAACAAAUGCAAUUCUAUACCAAUCCGGUGUUGAUCUUAAAGAAAUUAAAAGCAGUCAGUCUACUGCUUAUAAAAAAAAAAAGAUAAAAAAAAGAAAACAUGUCAAUCAUUACAAAAGAAAAUGUUAAGUUGAUGCAUCUCCUUAUCCAUGUUUCAUUUUAAUCAAUUCAUUUUGAUGACAAGACCUUUU